UCCCUGGUGGUCCAGUGGCUAAGACUCUGUGUUCCCAAUGCAGGGGGCCUGGGUUCAAUCCCCGAUCAGGGAA
rnacentral:tRNA from 1 species